rnacentral:rRNA from 1 species
GACAGAGGGUGCAAACGUUGUUCGGAAUUACUGGGCGUAAAGCGUGUGUAGGCGGCUACGUAAGUCGGAUGUGAAAGCCCCAGGCUCAACCUGGGAAGUGCACUCGAUACUGCGUAGCUUGAGUAUCGGAGAGGUUGGUGGAAUUCUCGGUGUAGAGGUGGAAUUCGUAGAUAUCGAGAGGAACACCGGUGGCGAAGGCGGCCAACUGGACGAAUACUGACGCUGAGACACGAAAGCGUGGGGAGCAAACAGG